rnacentral:tRNA from 1 species
GGAUGGUUGGCAGAGAGGUAAUGCAGCGGAUUGCUACUCCGUACAACCCUUAACGGGUUGCGUAGGUUCGAAUCCUACACCAUCCG